rnacentral:misc_RNA from 1 species
CAAAAUGGCUUAACUUGACAUUUCAAAAGCGACGUUUUUUUUUUAGUUGUUCCACCGAGGCAAGACAUAGCCAAGGAAAACACCGCUUUGAAAUUCACACACGAGAGAAAAAAAGGAGCGGCAAAAUGCGCCUUUGUGCUGCUUAGUGUCCAGUUGCACAUCGAGGGUGACAUAAACAGUGAAUCACCCCCCAAGCCAUGCUGCUCUCCGAGCAAGUACCAUUUUCACAUCUCAGCCUUUAUAGCACUCGCCCUAGAAACGCUUGGCCCGCACCUCUGUUUUGGAGGAGGCGGGGCACACAAAGGAUGGGGCUUUCAAAAGGUCCUCUUUGUCACGGAAAGAAUGCGAAGACCUCGCGGUACACGAAGGGAUCAUUUUUGGGGUGUCGUGGGAGCCGUACAGUUCCAUCGGUAGGUAGUGCAUGCGGAAUGCGCAAUCUCAUACGACCAUAUUAUUUCUCCUCUCAGAUGUUCUCUGCACUUGCUAGCUCGUAACAUGGCCGUUUUUUUUUUGGAGUAUUGUAUCCUUCCUCAGGAUGCCGGCCGCUUCACUGUGGUAUCAAGGUCUAGUGCCCACUCUUUGUGGGGAAGCCAAGAGCCUGUAGCCUGUCCUCAUGUACGGUUGCGGACUCUUGGUGUCAGCAGACAGGUCGGGACUGGCACUGUGCCAGAGGCGCGGCCAUGACCACGUUUUCACAGUCUCACUACAAAUGGUGUCGACGAUUUGACAAAUGCUGGAAGAAGCUAUCCAUAACGAGCAGCCCAUCAGUGCAUGCUUGCAAAACAGGCAGCACCUCCUGCAUCCUACCGGGUCUGCUGAUGACGCACAUGCCGGAAGCUUGAGGAAAGUACCCCGAAUCAAAAUUGUCGAGCCCUCCGGACCUCCAUGCGGAAAGUCUCCACACCACAUUAUGGAAUGCCAAGGCUUGAAGCAAUUGAUGAUGAAACACAGCACACACGCAGGGUGGGCAGAGGAUCUCAGAAGGCCCUUGUGUGAAGCUGGUCAGCUUCCUCCCUGAGUGCAUCCGGUACGCACCUGAACCAACCCAUGUUAUCCGCACGACAGAUGCCACUGCUUCCGCCUUUGAGCAUUACCCUGGAUACGGCCCGCUUUGGAUUAAGGAAAGGAGUCUACCGAUGUCUAUGCCACUGAUUGCGCAGAACGCAUGCAAAAAAGGGACGAGGAAGAACACGAGCCCGUCGGGCGCAUGACCCGGUUCAACGGCAGAAAGGCUAGCUCAAGACGAACAGGGUUUGGUUGCAGUGCAACGGAGGCAUAUGAGCCGCGGUUGUGGAUGCGCAUACUUGUUGACCUGGUCGUAGUAGAAUGAUACGUUGAAAGAGGACAAAGAUAAACUAUAUGUAUGCUUCUGAUGGUCUCUCAAUGUCUCUGCUCCACCAAACAUAAUCGAUGUUCUUUGAUUCCUCUAAUUUUCUGCCACUGUCGUCACGGCGGUGUGUGUGUGUG